CGGCCCCCACCCUCUUCCCAUCCCUGCCGGCCCCCACCCUCUCCCAAUCCCCUCACCUAAUCUCCCGUGGCCAGUGGAUUCGCCCCUUGGGGGGUCGAUUCCUCCGAGACGUCGGUCUGGAGGGCCGGCCAGGAGCGGCACGUCCCUCGUCGGCGCGUCGGUGGCGACGGCCCCACAGGUUGCUGCUCGCGGUUGGUUGCAAGGAUAGUUGUUGCGGUGGUCAAUUUCUCCUAGAAAGGUUUGUCUUCAACCUCUGGAGAUUUGUCUUUGACUAGCUCCGAGAGGUGUCACGGUCUGAGAGGAUACAGUGGGAUGGCUCCAUCUGCUAGAGUGAUUGGACCCACGAUGCAAUUGAUUUCCAAACUAAUAGAUUUGGAAACAAUAAUAGUUUUAGUUUGUUUUUAUUCAACAGUAGUUGCAUAUUCUUUCUACAAUAUGUGCUUGUAAGAAACGUUCAAACCAAAACUGGUGGCUGUAAGAAACGAGUCAUUACUUAACGAGCUAAAGGAAGCGUUAGCUGAUUGUGAAGUGAUGCCAGAAAUUAUUCCUGGGGAGCAAGGUGUCAUAGAGGUCGCUCGACACCCGGAUGCAGUUACAGUCGUUACGGGCAUAGUAGGGUGUGCAGGACUAAAGCCUACAGUUGCAGCAAUUGAAGCUGGGAAAGACAUAGCAUUGGCGAACCAAGAGACGAGCGCGCCGAGGGCGAUGACCGCUACCCUGCUCCUCUCCCGGCAAAGGCACGUCUACCUCUCCCGUGAAGAUGUAGCAGAACACACGUUCGUAAUUGAUACACCAAGGCUCAGCUUCUCUAUAUUGAUACGAAGGCCUGGAGCGUGUUUCUUUUGUUUUUUGAUGCAAUGUGAGUCGUCGGAUCUCGCUCAAGAUUGCUCUGGGCCGUUGGAUCAGAUAGAAACAACGCUAUAUCGAUUAUACAGUGGACCAGACUAUCGUGAGCAUUUUUAGCAGAAUGAUUCUUGAUAUUAUGUUGGAUCAUGUUGGAAUUCCUAGAGCUAUUUAUCGGAGAAGGAUGUACCCGCAUAGCACAAUGACUGUCACUGUGCUUUUCUACCGGAGAAAUGCACGCAUUUGAGUAUUUCUGUUAGCCAUCUUGGUUGAUUACAUCUGGUCAUUACAUUCUUCGGGAGGAGACCUUGUGUUGAGCAUGACACCCAGUCUGGCCAGCCUUGCAACUGCCAGCAACCCGAUUCAUCGACUGUACGUUGAGCCAAGCAAUGGCCUUUGUUAUGAGGAGCCUGACUGCACCGAAUAUGAUGAGUUUCCUGGCUACUAUCCAUCUGACCAUGAGGACAACAGUAGUAAUUGCUUAUCUGAGCUUGAGCUGUGAAUGCGACCGAUGUUUUGACCGCAUAAGAAGAUGAAGUUCUUUUCGUUUAUCGAGUAAUAUUAUCAUAGGUGGAUGUGAUGCCUCUAUAGAGGCGUUGUGAAUCAGUGUAGUAGCACACCACCCUUUCCUUAUUGUAAAUUAUGUGUGCUCAUCGCUAUGAGACAGGUCCUUCGGAUGGAUUUACUAAUCCAUGGUUAUUGUAUAUUAUGUUGUAGUUCCAGUGUUGGUUCUCUAAUUUACUUUCUAUACCUGUGUUAUCAUGUAUUAUUGCAUAUGCUAAACCUGGAUUUCUACUAACUUGCCAUUACCU